rnacentral:rRNA from 1 species
CCAGACUCUACGGGAGGCAGCAGUGGGGAAUAUGCACAAUGGCGCAAGCUGAUGCAGCAACGCCGCGUGAGGGAUGACGGCUUCGGGUUGUAAACCUCUUUUGGUAGGGAAGAAGCUUUCGAGUGACGGUACCUGCAGAAAAAGCACCGGCUAACUACGUGCCUGCAGCCGCGGUAAUACGUAGGGUGCAAGCGUUGUCCGGAAUUAUUGGGCGUAAAGAGCUCGUAGGCGGUUUGUCGCGUCUGCUGUGAAAUCCCGAGGCUCAACCUCGGACGUGCAGUGGGUACGGGCAGGCUUGAGUGCGGUAGGGGAGAUUGGAAUUCCUGGUGUAGCGGUGGAAUGCGCAGAUAUCAGGAGGAACACCGAUGGCGAAGGCAGAUCUCUGGGCCGCUACUGACGCUGAGGAGCGAAAGCAUGGGGAGCGAACAGGAUUAGAUACCCUGGUAGUCCAUGCCGUAAACGUUGGGAACUAGAUGUAGGGGCCUUUCCACGGCUUCUGUGUCGACGCUAACGCAUUAAGUUCCCCGCCUGGGGAGUACGGCCGCAAGGCUAAAACUCAAAGGAAUUGACGGGGGCCCGCACAAGCGGCGGAGCAUGCGGAUUAAUUCGAUGCAACGCGAAGAACCUUACCAAGGCUUGACAUAUACGAGAACACUGUAGAGAUACAGGACUCUUUGGACACUCGUAUACAGGUGGUGCAUGGUUGUCGUCAGCUCGUGUCGUGAGAUGUUCGGUUAAGUCCGGCAACGAGCGCAACCCUCGUCCUAUGUUGCCAGCACGUUAUGGUGGGAACUCAUGGGAUACUGCCGUGGUCAACACGGAGGAAGGUGGGGAUGACGUCAAAUCAUCAUGCCCCUUAUGUCUUGGGCUUCACGCAUGCUACAAUGGCCGGCACAAUGGGCAGCGAUACCGUGAGGUGGAGCGAAUCCAAAAAACCGGUCUCAGUUCGGAUUGGGGUCUGCAACUCGACCCCAUGAAGUCGGAGUCGCUAGUAAUCGCAGANCAGCACG